rnacentral:lncRNA from 1 species
UUCUCUCUACGACUAUUUUUUUCAAUACCCUAGAAAACCCAGUUUCAAACUUCAACCGCCGCCUCCUCCGUCACUUCCUCUAAAACCCUAACCACGGUGACCACCUCUACCGUAAUUCUCAGUGGCCUCUCUUUAAAGUAGAAUAUCUUUUAUUAUUGUUUUUCCUCUCUGUAAGCAUCCUUGCCACCACUAUUGGCAGCAUCAUCACCGGCACCACAAAACCCUCACACAACACCAUCCCUAUUUUCUUCACCGUCACCAUUACUCACUACCUUCUCUGUAAACGUAAACCACCCUAAAUCUAAACUCCAUCCUCAUAUAAACUAUUAUCUACAAUACCAGUUUCUUUAACUUCCGCUUCCGCCUUACCGAUAUGAGUUUAUGAUUGAACAAAAGAGAUGGAUUUAUGGAUUUGAGUUAGAUCUUUGUAUAUGUGCGUUUGUUGUCCCCUUCACCACCAACGUUAUCUCCAUCACUCACGACCAUUGGUACUCUGUCAACCCUAGAUCUAAACCAUCUUGUCAUCGGUUUCGUUACUCUAUUCCCUCACCACCACAUCUGAACCCGACAAUAGUAAGAUCUUUUAGAUUUAUAUAUUAAGAUCUAGAAAUAUUGGUUGGGUUAAGUACUUCAUUUUACACUAAGUGUGUUUGAAUCUUAAGGCUAUGUGUUAUAUGUAAGUGUGUUUGUUGAACUGUUUGUGUAUGUGUGUGUGUGUGCUUUUUAAACUUUAAUCAACUAAUGAAUAUAUGUCACUUAUGUUGAUCUUUGUGUCGAUAAACCAAGAUUGAUUUCAGGUUUGAUGUACCAAAAUUGACAACAGGUUCUUCCUUUGUUAUCUCUAAUAUUUAUUCGGUUCUUUUUGGCUUUGUAUUUCCCUCUGUUCUGUUUUUCUGCUUUCUUUGAUUCAAGUUCUAUAAUUUGAUUUUCUAGGGUUGGUUUGUUUUUAUGGUGUGCUUUUAUAUUAGGAAACCUUUCAACUUUAAAUGAUGUGAGCCUCCCUGUAUAUGUUUAAUAAAAUGGAAAGUGUUUUUCUAAUACAUCUAAAAUUAUUUUCUAAUUAUCAUGUGAUUUCAUUUUUUCUAAAUACUAAAGUUAUCAUUGUAAAUUGUGGGUCUUGUAUAUGAGAUAAUUAUGCUUGUUCAUCCAUCCGAUUUGUACACACAUGUGAAGGCUAUACCUGGUGUAGAUGUUAUGUUGCUUUGUUUUCCAUUUUCUGUUCUUAUUUAUUUGUUUUUGUUAAACUUUUGUUGGUAGUUAUUAGAAUCUCAUGGUAAAUUUGAAAAAUGAAAUCAAGAAAGUGUAGUUAAUGAGAUCUGAUAGCCAUUCUUUUUUACAGAUUUUUUUGUUUGUAGUCUAAAAAUUGUAUUAAUAUUUUUUUUGUCAAUUUUAUGAUUUGCAUGUUAACAGAUAUAUUUCUAAGCUCAAGGCUAAAGGCUGAAGGUUGAUAGUGGCUUAUAGACUCUUGAUUUUAUGAUCCAAGCUUGAUUUUUAUCUGGUUAAUGGUCUGUGUGGGUAGUCUGCUAAGUUCUGGAUAGAGUCGAAGUUUAAUGUAAUCUACAAGUUCAUGGAGAUUUAUUUGUACAUCUUUGUUUAUUUUUCAUUUAGCUGGUGUUGACCAAAUGGUUUUGGUUUCUCCAAAGUACAAGUUUUUUUUCUUUGCAGUGUAGUAUUUCUUACAGGUUUAGAAAAAUAUAUGAAUUUAGAAAUUUUCAGUUCAUUGGUAUCUUCUGUUAAUGUUGUUUUCAAUUUUGACUAAACCAGUUCUUCAAAUAUUUCACUUUAUAUGUUUGUGUUUGUUAUACGAUAUCUAUUAAUGUUCU